UACGUAGGGGGCAAGCGUUGUCCGGAUUUACUGGGCGUAAAGAGCGUGUAGGCGGCCAAGCAGGUCCGUUGUGAAAACUGGAGGCUUAACCUCCAGACGUCGACGGAAACCGCGUGGCUAGAGUCCGGAAGAGGAGAGUGGAAUUCCUGGUGUAGCGGUGAAAUGCGCAGAUAUCAGGAAGAACACCAAUGGCGAAGGCAGCUCGCUGGGACGUGACUGACGCUGAGACGCGAAAGCGUGGGGAGCAAACAGG
rnacentral:rRNA from 1 species